rnacentral:misc_RNA from 1 species
GCUGAUAAUACAGGAGAUAGCAGUCCCUCUACUGAGGGCAGGACAAAGGUUGACAAAAAAGCUAAUGCUGAAGAUGUUGAUCCUUCUCAAGAUCGCAAGACUUCUGGUGCUGGAUCCUGAGGCCAUGAUUCCAUGCAAUCAUCUUCCAAGUGGAUUUGAUUGACUAUCAUGUUCAUCAUGGAGCUUGCUUGAAUGUGGAAACUAACAGCAUUUUAUCACAGUACGCUGCUGCUGAAUUUGUUGAAGAUAAUUAAGUUGCUAAUCCAUUGUCUUAUGGUCAUUAAUAGCUUCACUUUACAAUAGUUUUGGGAAUGAAGUUGAAUACCAGAUGGCUGCUGAAAGUGUAUAGUGGAAAGUACCAAUGUUAAUAACUUUUGACAUCAUGGCCG